AUUCCAGCUCCAAUAGCGUAUAUUAAAGUUGUUGCAGUUAAAAAGCUCGUAGUUGGACUUCUGAUGUGGGACUGCGCCCCGGUAUUUUGCCGUUGGGUGCGGGCUCGCGUCUUCCUCUCGUAGUUGGAUGGUGCACUUAACUGGGUGCCUUCUGAAUAUGGGACCUUUACUUUGAAAAAAUUAGAGUGUUCAAAGCAGGCAAUCGCUUGAAUACAUUAGCAUGGAAUAAUAGAAUAGGACUUUGGUUCUAUUUUGUUGGUUUCUAGGACCGAAGUAAUGAUUAAUAGGGACAGUUGGGGGCAUUAGUAUUUAAUUGUCAGAGGUGAAAUUCUUGGAUUUAUGAAAGACUAACUACUGCGAAAGCAUUUGCCAAGGAUGUUUUCAUCG
rnacentral:rRNA from 1 species